GAUCAUGGCUCAGGACGAACGCUGGNGGCGCGCCUAACACAUGCAAGUCGAACGAGAGAUGAGGAGCUUGCUCUUCAAAUCGAGUGGCGAACGGGUGAGUAACGCGUGAGGAACCUGCCUCAAAGAGGGGGACAACGGUUGGAAACGACUGCUAAUACCGCAUAAGCCCACGGCUCGGCAUCGAGCAGAGGGAAAAGGAGCAAUCCGCUUUGAGAUGGCCUCGCGUCCGAUUAG
rnacentral:rRNA from 1 species